GGCAACCCCAGAGCUCGGUCCCAUAUCAACUGAGAGCAAAUUCCAAGACUCCUUGAAACACCGAAAAGAACAGUAAAGUACCUUGCUUCAGUCAAACCAAAGUAGUUCAACAAUACUCCACUAUGAGCAUCAACAUUUGGCCAUGGGUUUUUAACCUUCCCAAGUUCUGUUAGGAUGGGUGGCACAACUUCGUAGAGCUUGGAUACCAGCUGAAAAAGAGGAUCGUCAGGCAAAUGCUUCAAGGCAAACUCUCUUUGACAAGUAUAUCUUGGAUCUGUUUUACGCAGAACUCCAUGACCAAAUCCUGGAACAACCUUGCCACUGUUUAGUGUUUUCCAAACAUAGUCUUUCAACUGCUCCGUAGUUAUGUUCUCUCCACACUCUUCCACUACAGAUUUGAUCCAAAGCAAGACUUCCUGAUUUGCCAAACCAUGUAAUGGUCCAGCCAGACCAUUUAGGGCAGCAGCAAAUGAAAGAUAAGGAUC
rnacentral:misc_RNA from 1 species